rnacentral:rRNA from 1 species
CCUACGGGCGGCAGCAGUGAGGAAUAUUGGUCAAUGGACGCAAGUCUGAACCAGCCAUGCCGCGUGCAGGAAGACGGCUCUAUGAGUUGUAAACUGCUUUUGUACGAGGGUAAACGCAGAUACGCGUAUCUGUCUGAAAGUAUCUUACGAAUAAGGAUCGGCUAACUCCGUGCCAGCAGCCGCGGUAAUACGGAGGAUUCAAGCGUUCUCCGGAUUUAUUGGGUUUAAAGGGUGCGUAGGCGGUCGGAUAAGUUAGAGGUGAAAUCCCGAGGCUCAACUUCGGAAUUGCCUCUGAUACUGUUAGGCUAGAGAGUAGUUGCGGUAGGCGGAAUGUAUGGUGUAGCGGUGAAAUGCUUAGAGAUCAUACAGAACACCGAUUGCGAAGGCAGCUUACCAAGCUACGUCUGACGUUGAGGCACGAAAGCGUGGGGAGCAAACAGGAUUAGAUACCCCGGUAGUC